CCUACGGGGUGCAGCAGUGAGGAAUAUUGGUCAAUGGACGAGAGUCUGAACCAGCCAAGUAGCGUGAAGGAUGACUGCCCUAUGGGUUGUAAACUUCUUUUAUAUGGGAAUAAAAUGUUCCACGUGUGGGAUUUUGUAUGUACCAUAUGAAUAAGGAUCGGCUAACUCCGUGCCAGCAGCCGCGGUAAUACGGAGGAUCCGAGCGUUAUCCGGGUUUAUUGGGUUUAAAGGGAGCGUAGGUGGAUUGUUAAGUCAGUUGUGAAAGUUUGCGGCUCAACCGUAAAAUUGCAGUUGAAACUGGCAGUCUUGAGUACAGUAGAGGUAGGCGGAAUUCGUGGUGUAGCGGUGAAAUGCUUAGAUAUCACGAAGAACUCCGAUUGCGAAGGCAGUUCACUGGACUGCAACUGACACUGAGGCUCGAAAGUGUGGGUAUCAAACAGGAUUAGAUACCCUGGUAGUC
rnacentral:rRNA from 1 species